rnacentral:rRNA from 1 species
AUUGAACGCUGGCGGCAUGCCUUACACAUGCAAGUCGAACGGCAGCACGGGAGCAAUCCUGGUGGCGAGAGGCGAACGGGUGAGUAAUAUAUCGGAACGUGCCCAGUAGUGGGGGAUGACUGCUCGAAAGAGCAGCUAAUAUCGCAUACGACCUGAGGGUGGAGGGGGGGGAUCGCAACACCUCUCGCUAUUGGUGCGGCAGAUAUCAGAUUAGCUAGUUGGUGGGGUAAAGGCCUACCAAGGCAACGAUGUGUAGUUGGUCUGAGAGGACGACCAGCCACACUGGGACUGAGACACGGCCCAGACUCCUACGGGAGGCAGCAGUGGGGAAUUUUGGACAAUGGGCGCAAGCCUGAUCCAGCAAUGCCGCGUGCAGGAAGAAGGCCUUCGGGUUGUAAACUGCUUUUGUCAGGGAAGAAAUCCUCUAGGUUAAUACCCUUGGGGGGAUGACGGUACCUGAAGAAUAAGCACCGGCUAACUACGUGCCAGCCGCCGCAGUAAUAC